GAAGAGGUUAUCCUAAGAACAAAUUGAAAGUCAAGAGUUGAAAAGAUCUGACCAAUGAGAUGCAAUCCAACAGACAAGAAUGUCAUAUAAAAACCCAUUUUCCCUUGGACUUUAAUCAAGCAAUAAUCAAUAAGCAAUGAGCAAUAUCCAGAAAUCAUGAACAUCAAGGAAUCAAAUAAAGAUAGCCACAUCCAAGCAAGCAUUCCAAUAACUAGCAGUCUUCAUUGUCUUCUAAAGUAUCAGAUGAAUUGGUCCUUAAGCAACUCA
rnacentral:lncRNA from 1 species